CCUAUUUUAUAACUCAUCAUUGAAGACGCUGUUUUGUUUUUCGGAGAUUCAUCAUGGCGAUGCAUACGAAGGCGACACCGCCACAGAUUCCCGACACCCGUCGGGAACUCUCGGAACUGGUCAAGAGGAAACAAGAACUUGCGGAGACAUUGGUGAACUUGGAAAGACAGAUCUAUGCAUUUGAGGGCAGCUACUUGGAAGACACCCAGAUGUAUGGGAAUAUCAUUAGAGGAUGGGACAGAUACCUCACCAACCAAAAAAAUUCCAACAGCAAGACGGACCGAAGAAACAGAAAGUUUAAGGAGGCAGAGCGUCUGUUCAGCAAGUCUUCAGUCACUUCUGUAGCAGCUGUCUGUGCACUUGGCGGGAUCCCAGAUCACAUGAAUGAAAAGCGUGAGCCCGGCAGUGGGACAGAGAGCGACACAUCCCCAGACCUCCAGAACCAGGAGAACGAACCCAGUCAGGAGGACACGGAGGACGCAGAUGGGGCGCUGCAGGACCUCAAACCCCAGAAGGCUGCCUCGUCCUCCUCCGGAAGCCACCAUGGGAGCCACAAGAAAAGGAAGAACAAAAACAGACACAGCCCUUCUGCCAUGUUUCAUUAUGACUUUGAGUCCUGUUCCCUUAAUCCAGUUAUGAAAAAGUCUGCUCUUCCUGCCAAAAUGAGAUGGGGAGCUCAAAGGUUGAGUAAAAACCCACAUCUUUCAGCACAUCCCAGGCUUUCAUAUGGUUCUUUUAGUUGUCUCCUUGUGUGUUGCUUGGUCUCUUCGCUUGAGUAACUGUAGUGGUGCUUGUUGUCUCCAUGGUUACUCGUGUUGUAUUUAGUGAAACCUGAAAGAUCUGUCGUAACUCUUGCUUUUUUUGUUGAUUUUAGAUUCGACAUGAAGGUGAACAAAAAACCCAGAGCGGACUAUUCAACUUGAUGAAAUGGGGGUGUUAAGCACUUCAGACCAGAACUGGCCACACAGGAGAAGUCUUCAGUGAAGCAGAGAAUCACUUCUCUGGGCUUUGUGAACUUUAUAUGCCUUAUGUUAACUGACUUGGUUUCUGCUUUGUGUAUAUUGCAUGAAAUGUUGCCCCUCCCCACCUGCAACUAGAAAUAUUUGUGUUUCAUGAUUUUCCUGCAGAAAAGUACAAGGUGUGUAAUUGCAUGUUACUCAAUACCCAGCUGGGGUUAUUGUAUAGUGCUGAACAUUCUAUAUUUAUCAUGUAACUUCACAUUUUCCUCUGCUCUUCUUGUGACAAAAAUAACAAGAUUAUAUUUGUCGUUGUGUGGGUUUGUUAUCUCUAGAAUAUCCCAGCUUCUGUUUUUUUAUUUUAUUUUGAGAUUUGUUUAGCAUAAUUGUAAUAAAACAUUGAAAUGAUAAAUAUUACUAUAUAUAGUUUAUGGUAAAAAUCUAAAUUUGUGAAGGUCUAGCCCACCAGAAGCAUUGAAAAUGUCUUGCUGUUAAUCAAAAUCUCAUCUGUGUCUUUACUCUGCACUCUUCAGUGAUCAUAUAGCAGGGAAAUCAAUAGGGAAGCUAGUUUAUGACCAACAGACCAACAUCUCUGUAUUUACUCUGCACUCUUCAGUGAUCAUAUAGCAGGGAAAUCAAUAGGGAAGCUAGUUUAUGACCAACAGACCAACAUCUCUGUCUUUACUCUGCACUCUUCAGUGAUCAUAUAGCAGGGAAAUCAAUAGGGAAGCUAGUUUAUGACCAACAGACCAACAUCUGUGUCUGACGGCAUCUACUGUCUGGUUUCAUUGUGGCUUCUUCAAGGUGCUCAGAUCAGGUUCUCUCUCUAGUCCACCAUCUUAUUAGCUGAGUCUCAAAUAGCUCCCUAUUCCAUUUAUACCACACUACGUUUUGAUUGGUGACGUUUCAGUGAGUUCAUGGAAAUUGUUUUAGUACUGUGUUCACCUUCAAACAGCUUUAUUCUGACUCCCAAGUAUGAUUAAAAUAACUCUGUUUACACACAAAGAUAUGACGUCAUUAUGGCCGUUUCAGAGAUUUGAGUUUUGAUUUCUGAACAGUGGCAGUUAAAGUGAACCAGGGGGCAACAGGCUGACAACACAUGACCCAUGCCAUGUUGGGGAACAGUGUACUAUAUGCAGUUUAACUAGUACUUCAACUACAUUUUACAGUAGGUUGGUUGGUACUUGAACGAAAUUCAAAUCUUGUUACUGUUUUCAGUAGGUCACUUUUUGUUUGUUGUGUAGCUAACUACUGGAACUACACACUUUUGCAAAAGGAAAAUCAAAAUGUGGCUGAAGUAGGCAA